CUGCCAGACUCCUACGGGAGGCAGCAGUAGGGAAUAUUGCUCAAUGGGGGAAACCCUGAAGCAGCAACGCCGCGUGGAGGAUGAAGGUUUUCGGAUUGUAAACUCCUUUUGUUAGAGAAGAUAAUGACGGUAUCUAACGAAUAAGCACCGGCUAACUACGUGCCAGCAGCCGCGGUAAUACGUAGGGGGCAAGCGUUAUCCGGAUUUACUGGGUGUAAAGGGUGCGUAGGUGGCAGGGCAAGUCAGAUGUGAAAGCCCGGGGCCCAACCCCGGUACUGCAUUUGAAACUGUCCGGCUGGAGUGCAGGAGAGGUAAGCGGAAUUCCUAGUGUAGCGGUGAAAUGCGUAGAUAUUAGGAGGAACACCGGUGGCGAAGGCGGCUUACUGGACUGUAACUGACGUUGAGGCUCGAAAGCGUGGGGAGCAAACAGGAUUAGAUACCCGAGUA
rnacentral:rRNA from 1 species